rnacentral:snoRNA from 1 species
AACUGGCACACCAGGAACAGUUAAUGUCUGCUGCUAAGGUUUCCACUACAGGUGCAAGAAAAAGACGUUUUCGUGCUUUCUGUCUGUCUGGUUGUGGCAGCCAAGAUUGAGUGGGGGAAUAUAGGA